GUUAAAGGACAAUUUAGACAAUAUAAAAGCAGUGUAAGGGAGGUAAUGCAAUUAAAAUUUAAAGAAUACUGUUAUAUAUAUGAUUGAUUACUUGAUUACCUCCCUUACACUGCUUGUUUUCAAAAGUUUCAAGAAGAAAUUUUCCAUUGCACAGUAUUGUGCAAUAGAUUUGUUAGAUCUUUGACCAUAUUUAUUUUGUGACAAAAACCUAUAUUAUGUCAAAAAUUUGAUAUCAAUCCAAAUUCAGACAGUAUCAAGCUUUAAUUUUGUGACCAAAUUUGCC
rnacentral:lncRNA from 1 species